GCAGCCAUCCUCAGCAACAGCAAGGAUCUGAACUCCUUCUGCGAUAAAAACAGCUGCGUUCUUAUCAGGAAAGUUAGCAUGGAUGCCGGCAGCAGCAGCAGCCCGUGCAGAACCAGUCCUCUCCAUACGUCAAGCAGUGUUUGUAUAUAUUUCAGUGUAUCCAAGCGAGGCCUUUUUAACUUUCCAUGCUUUGGACGGAGCUGUACUUUCCUGAAUGGAAGCCAGGAAAAAACUUGGAGAUUUGGCAGGAAGACUGUGGGAAGCCUGCUGCAACACCAAGCUGAGAUCUGGCGCAGGAGCCUUCUACAAAGGCAGACGAGCGAAACACCUUCCUUUGUUUAGCUCUAGUAUGAGCACAAAUGGAGCCCCCAGAUUGCAAUCAGGUUCUCACCAAAGGGCUUGCAUGUGCUUGCUG
rnacentral:lncRNA from 1 species